rnacentral:tRNA from 1 species
GCCUGGGUGGCUCAGUCGGUUAAGCGUCUGACUUUGUCUCAGGUCGUAAUCUCACGGUUCAUGAGUUCGAGACCCAUUUAAGGCU